rnacentral:lncRNA from 1 species
UGAACAAUACAGAAGAUCCACUUUUGAGGGGUCUUCCUCUAGCUUUCCAGACUGGCAGCCUCCCGAAAGCAAUCUGCAUCGUGGAGAUGGCUCUGUGGGUAAAGGACUCGCCUUCAAGCAGGGUGACCAGAGUUGGGACUGUCAUCAUACAUGUGAGUACCAGGGUUACUGGACAUGGAGCAUACUGUGCUGAAGGAUCUGUGGGAAGACAAGCACAAGCUGAACAUCGAGAUUAUUUCCAGUGAAAAAAAAGAUCAGAGAACGCUUCAUCGAAAGUCACUGACCACCAGAGACGUGUGUUUCAGAACAACAGUAACAAGAUGUAUAUAUGGAGGUGUGAAUUCCACUUCUGGAGUUAACUAGGUCAAAAGUUUUGCUGUGGCAUCCGAAUGAACCAAGAUAAGAAUCCACCGAGCGACCUCAUCCCACUUUUGAAGCCAGCGCUCAUAUCCAGAGUGUGCAGUCUUUCCUUCCUUAACUUUUGUCUUCCCUUAAUUCUAAACCUGAAACUAUGCUGGAGACUUUUCUUAAUAUAGACCUCAACCCUUCCUCACUAUUAAAAAAAAAUCCAUAUUCUGAUUCCUUUUUAUGAAAAUUGUAACAUCAUAGCUAGAAUUACUUAGUUUCAACUGCAAUAGGAAUCUAUACCAGGGUCUCUUUUUAGACAAAAACCACUGAU